AAACAGAGAGAGGAGCUAUGGGGCGUGGGGAGAAGAAGAAGAGAAGUAGAGGGAGAAGAGAAGAAAAGAAGAAGAAGAGGGAAAAGAAGAGAGGAAGAAGGGGGAGAAGAAGAAGAAGAAGAAGAAGAUAGGAGGAUAGCUGCGGCAAGGCUGCAGUGAGGAGGUGUGUGACGUUGGGGAGGAAAAGGGAAGAGGAGAAGAAGAGAAGGAGAAGAAGAGGGAAAAGAGAGGGAAGAGGGAGAGGAGCGAGAGGUGGCAGCUGUUGAAUCUCGGAUUUUGAUGAUAUAAUCAAUUGGUGGGUUAAUUGAUCUAAUCCAUAUUAUUGAGUUAAGUGUGCAG
rnacentral:lncRNA from 1 species